UGCCAGCCGCCGCGGUAAUACGGAGGAUCCAAGCGUUAUCCGGAAUCAUUGGGUUUAAAGGGUCCGCAGGCGGUUUUUUAAGUCAGAGGUGAAAUCCUAUCGCUCAACGAUAGAACUGCCUUUGAUACUGAAAGACUUGAGUUAUUGUGAAGUGGUUAGAAUAUGUAGUGUAGCGGUGAAAUGCAUAGAUAUUACAUAGAAUACCGAUUGCGAAGGCAGAUCACUAACAAUAUACUGACGCUGAGGGACGAAAGCGUGGGUAGCGAACAGGAUUAGAUA
rnacentral:rRNA from 1 species